rnacentral:misc_RNA from 1 species
GAUGAAGAACGCAGUGAAAUGCGAUAAGUAAUGUGAAUUGCAGAAUUCAGUGAAUCAUCGUAUCUUUGAACGCACAUUGCGCCCCUUGGUAUUCCGAGGGGCAUGCCUGUUCGAGCGUCAUUUAAACCAAUCUAGCUUGCUAGGUCUUGGGCUUUCGCCUCUGGGCGGGCCUCAAAAUCAGUGGCGGUGCUGCCGGGCUUUAAGCGUAGUAAUCUUUCUCGCUAUAGGGUCCUGGUAGAGGCUUGCCAACAACUAUAAAUCUUUCAAAGGUUGACCUCGGAUCAGGUAGGGAUACCCGCUGAACUUAAGCAUAUCAAUAAGCGGAGGA